GGGACGGAAAUGGCGUCUCCGGGCGGCUAGGCGCGCGCGGAGGGUCUCAGCGGCUCCGGUUCCGCCGCCUCCGAGGCCGAGGCGCUCUCUCCCGCGCCGUUCUGCUGCGCACCCUCCGUCCCGCAAAGCCACGCUCUCCGCUCCCUUCAGCUCGUCGCAAUAAGGAACGGUAGCGGCGCCUGCUGCGGUCCUCAGCGGCACAUGGGCGCGGCCAUCUUGGGGGCGGGGCCGUUCCCUGGGACCCGUGCCCUUCCCAGGCCCAGGGGUCAGAGAGCGGCGGUCCGGCCCAGGCGGGGCAAGUGGCCCGGAGGAGGGUCUGGUAGCCGGGCCGGAGGGCCGGUCACACCCACAGACGAGGAAAGCCCGAUGCCUCAUUCUCCUGAAAUAAAUCGGGUUGCUCCCGUUUCGGGGACCCCGGGCGUCCCGGGAGAGUGGUUUUGCUUUCUGACGACACUGCCUAGAGAACGAGAGAAUCUUGGGUCUCUGACAGUGGCAGCCCCUGGUAGCUUGGCCUGCUAAAAAAGCCUGCAAGUGCCCUUGGGGAACGUGUGUGUUUCCGUAGGGUCUGGGGAAAAAGAGGCCAAGUGUGUGCUGCCCUUGUAGCUGCCUGGUCACCAAGCAGAACCCUUCGGGCGGUGCGUGGUCGGCUCUCAGCUCAGAUGCACCCAAUUCCUUCCGAGCUAGAGCCAGCAGGUGCCACGCACUGUGAGAGAAGCCUGUGACAAAAACCCUCAUGCAGUCCACCAUACACGUGUGGAGGCUUCCAUUUGGAACAUACUGCUCUCUCCCUCUCUUUCCCUUUCCCCUCUGUGCGUCAACUAACAUUCCCCGGGUGGUUUGGAUGAUUCGUAGCCCAGAUCUCCGGCGCAGAGUUCUGGGAAGUGACUGUCCAAGCCUUGAGUAGGAGUCCCGGGAGAAGAGCCCGUUCUCCCUCAGGCGUGUGAGUGGGUACUGCUCCCCACUGCGAAUGCAUUCUUCGUGCGUUUGUAAGUGAUGGCCCGGCUUGGAGAUGCUACCUGUUCGUUUCUAGAGGAGAGGUGACCUGCUAACCUUCUUUUCGGAGAUCACGAUCAGGAGGCAGGAGGAGGUUCAUCCAGGUGGGCGCAGUCAUCAGUCUAUCUUCACACCCCCAAAUCUUGAGGACAAGCUUUACGAAAAACUCUCAAGCUGCACCACAGAGACAAGAUCGGAUGGGUUGGUAGAAGAUGCUGAAAUGAUAAUUUGACUAAGUUUUCUGAAUGCAGUCUGGAAACAUUUUGCAGAAAAGCUGAAUUUAAGGGGAGAAAUUUCCUGGAGUGGAAGGAAUUGGUGUGGUGAAAAGCAUAAAGUAAAUGUUCCAGAAAAGAGAGAUACAUAUGGGAGAAUAAUUUGAUUCAGUUUUUGUUGGCUUAUGUAUGGAGAAGAACAAAUGCAUUUGCUUGGCUAACCUUAUUCUGUAACAGAUUUUUAAGGAGUGGGUGGAGGAUGGAGAGGUUAGUUGAAGAAGACUUAACCAAUUUGAAAUUUGGUUGAAAUUCCUCAUAAUUCGCACAGCUCAUAGCUAAGACAUUGAUCAAAAAUAGUUUCCAAAAUUUGUUUACUAAAUUCCUGGACGUGAACUUUUUUUUUUUUUUUUUUUUACCAGUUUGGACAUUGCAGAAACUUAGGGAAUUCAGAAUGUCAGAACAAGGGUCUUCCACUCAGAAAGGAUAAACCAGAAGUUAUUACUGGAAUUUACUGGAGAGAUUUAAUUUUUUUUUCCAGUUUUUAUCAUAGGAUUUUCCUUGGGACAUGGUAAAGGAGAACACCCCCCCCUUACCCAACAUUGUAGCCUUAUUCUCCAAAAUUGUUAAUUUCACACAUCUGAGGUUGGUAUAGGAAAUGUAAAUUCAUGUGAUUGCUGAAAGCAAAAGGUGUACUGUGGCCACACUGGGGCAGCAGACACUUGGCUUUUCUAGCUUUCUCUCCUGGAACUGUAAUAAAUGGAGCGAUCAUACACAUUACUCUUUGAUUUAAAUGUCUUUUUCAGACUGCUAAACCGAGAGAAAGGACUACCCUUAAAAUACUAACAACAGAGACCUCACGUGUUAAUUAAGAGGUUGGGGAAGAGCUUGAUUUUUUUUCCUAAAUGGCUAGUUUUUCAGAGGUCAUUGAGAGCAAGGGACUGUUUCUUAGUCAUUGGAUAGCCUCAGGGCAAUCGCAUCUCCUGAGAGCUCAAUAAAUUUUGGUUGUCGUUAGUGUUUC